CCUACGGGUGGCAGCAGUGAGGAAUAUUGGUCAAUGGGCGAGAGCCUGAACCAGCCAAGUCGCGUGCAGGAUGACGGCCCUACGGGUUGUAAACUUCUUUUGUCAGGGAGCAAUUGAGUCCACAUGUGGGCUUAGCGAGAGUCCCUGAAGAAAAAGCAUCGGCUAACUCCGGGCCAGCAGCCGCGGUAAUACGGGGGAUGCGGGCGUUAUCCGGAUUUAUUGGGUUUAAAGGGGGCGUAGGCGGAAUAUCAAGUCAGCGGGAAAAAUGCGGGGCUCAACCCCGUCGUGCCGUUGAAACUGAUGGUCUUGAGUGGGCGAGAGGUAUGCGGAAUGCGGGGUGUAGCGGUGAAAUGCAUAGAUAUCACGCAGAACUCCGAUUGCGAAGGCAGCAUACCGGCGCCCAACUGACGCUGAAGCACGAAAGCGUGGGUAUCGAACAGGAUUAGAUACCCUAGUAGUC
rnacentral:rRNA from 1 species